AAGUCGUAACAAGGUUUCCGUAGGUGAACCUGCGGAAGGAUCAUUAUCAGAGCUUUGCUCAUUCCAUUCUUGUGAAUUUUAUUGUCUCAAAUUAAAACUUUCAACAACGGAUCUCUUGGCUCCGGCGUCGAUGAAGAACGCAGCGAAAUGCGAUACGUGAUGUGAAUUGCAGAAUUGUGAAUCAUCGAAACUUUGAACGCACAUUGCGCCUGUCGGUACUCCGUCAGGCAUGUCUGUUUGAGCGUUGUUAAACUCUCAGUUCUGGUUGUAGAGGAGGCAGCGCCCCUCUGAAAUAUCUCAGCAUUGUGCCACGGCGAAACGUGAAGCGUGCUAUAAUAUGAAUCUCCAACCUCAAAUCAGACAAGAAUACCCGCUGAACUUAAGCAUAUCAAUAAGCGGAGGAAAAGAAACCAACAGGGAUGGCCCUAGUAACGGCGAGCGAAGCGGCCACAGCUCAGAUUUGAAACCGGGCAACCGGAUUGUAAUCUGCAGAGGAGGAUCCGGCAGCGGCUAGACUAAAGUCCUCUGGAAUGGGGUGCCCCAGACGGUGACAGCCCGGUAAAGUCGAUGCCAACGCCAUUCGGGCCUCUCUCAACGAGUCGAGUUGUUUGGGAAUGCAGCUCUAAUUGGGAGGUAAAUUCCUUCUAAGGCUAAAUACCCGCCGGAGACCGAUAGCGAACAAGUAGAGUGAUCGAAAGAUGAAAAGCACUUUGGAAAGAGAGUCAAAUAGCGCGUGAAAUUGUUGAAAGGGAAGCGCUCGUUGUCAGACGUGGUAAUUUGUUCAGCUGUUUUGUUAAGGCAGUGCGCUCAACUUACCAGGCCAGCAUCGGUUUGGGCAGUCGGAUAACAGCGGAGGAACGUUGCUCUUCGGAGCGUUAUAGCCUCCGUCUACACGGCUCGCGCAGACCGAGGUCUUCUGCGUUUUCACAGAUGCUGGCGUAAGGGCACCGAGCGGCC
rnacentral:rRNA from 1 species